UUGGAGGGCAAGCCUGGUGCCAGCAGCCACAGUAAUUCUGGCUCUAAUAGAGGAUAUUAAAGUUGCGGCAGUUAAAACGCUC
rnacentral:rRNA from 1 species